rnacentral:rRNA from 1 species
AGCGUACACGGUGGAUGCCCUGGCAGUCAGAGGCGAUGAAGGACGUGCUAAUCUGCGAAAAGCGUCGGUAAGGUGAUAUGAACCGUUACAGCCGGCGAUGUCCGAAUGGGGAAACCCAGUGCAAUUCGUUGCACUAUCGUUAACUGAAUACAUAGGUUAACGAGGCGAACCGGGGGAACUGAAACAUCUAAGUACCCCGAGGAAAAGAAAUCAACCGAGAUUCCCCCAGUAGCGGCGAGCGAACGGGGAGCAGCCCGGAGUCUGAAUCAGCUUGUGUGUUAGUGGAAGCGUCUGGAAAGUCGCAGGGUACAGGGUGAUACUCCCGUACACUAAAACACACAGGUUGUGAACUCGAAGAGUAGGGCGGGACACGUGGUAUCCUGUCUGAAUAUGGGGGGACCAUCCUCCAAGGCUAAAUACUCCUGACUGACCGAUAGUGAACCAGUACCGUGAGGGAAAGGCGAAAAGAACCCCGGCGAGGGGAGUGAAAAAGAACCUGAAACCGUGUACGUACAAGCAGUAGGAGCCCACUAGUUGGGUGACUGCGUACCUUUUGUAUAAUGGGUCAGCGACUUAUAUUCUGUAGCAAGGUUAACCGUAUAGGGGAGCCGCAGGGAAACCGAGUCUUAACUGGGCGUUAAGUUGCAGGGUAUAGACCCGAAACCCGGUGAUCUAGCCAUGGGCAGGUUGAAGGUUGGGUAACACUAACUGGAGGACCGAACCGACUAAUGUUGAAAAAUUAGCGGAUGACUUGUGGCUGGGGGUGAAAGGCCAAUCAAACCGGGAGAUAGCUGGUUCUCCCCGAAAGCUAUUUAGGUAGCGCCUCGUGAAUUCAUCUUCGGGGGUAGAGCACUGUUUCGGCUAGGGGGUCAUCCCGACUUACCAACCCGAUGCAAACUACGAAUACCGAAGAAUGUUAUCACGGGAGACACACGGCGGGUGCUAACGUCCGUCGUGAAGAGGGAAACAACCCAGACCGCCAGCUAAGGUCCCAAAGUCAUGGUUAAGUGGGAAACGAUGUGGGAAGGCCCAGACAGCCAGGAUGUUGGCUUAGAAGCAGCCAUCAUUUAAAGAAAGCGUAAUAGCUCACUGGUCGAGUCGGCCUGCGCGGAAGAUGUAACGGGGCUAAACCAUGCACCGAAGCUGCGGCAGCGACACUAUGUGUUGUUGGGUAGGGGAGCGUUCUGUAAGCCGUUGAAGGUGGCCUGUGAGGGUUGCUGGAGGUAUCAGAAGUGCGAAUGCUGACAUAAGUAACGAUAAUGCGGGUGAAAAACCCGCACGCCGGAAGACCAAGGGUUCCUGUCCAACGUUAAUCGGGGCAGGGUGAGUCGACCCCUAAGGCGAGGCCGAAAGGCGUAGUCGAUGGGAAACAGGUUAAUAUUCCUGUACUUGGUGUUACUGCGAAGGGGGGACGGAGAAGGCUAUGUUGGCCGGGCGACGGUUGUCCCGGUUUAAGCAUGUAGGCGGAUGUUCCAGGUAAAUCCGGAACGUCAUUAACGCUGAGGUGUGAUGACGAGGCACUACGGUGCUGAAGUGACAAAUGCCCUGCUUCCAGGAAAAGCCUCUAAGCAUCAGGUAACAUCAAAUCGUACCCCAAACCGACACAGGUGGUCAGGUAGAGAAUACCAAGGCGCUUGAGAGAACUCGGGUGAAGGAACUAGGCAAAAUGGUGCCGUAACUUCGGGAGAAGGCACGCUGAUGGUAGGUGAAGUGACUUGCUCAUGGAGCUGAAAUCAGUCGAAGAUACCAGCUGGCUGCAACUGUUUAUUAAAAACACAGCACUGUGCAAACACGAAAGUGGACGUAUACGGUGUGACGCCUGCCCGGUGCCGGAAGGUUAAUUGAUGGGGUUAUCCUCACGGAGAAGCUCUUGAUCGAAGCCCCGGUAAACGGCGGCCGUAACUAUAACGGUCCUAAGGUAGCGAAAUUCCUUGUCGGGUAAGUUCCGACCUGCACGAAUGGCGUAAUGAUGGCCAGGCUGUCUCCACCCGAGACUCAGUGAAAUUGAACUCGCUGUGAAGAUGCAGUGUACCCGCGGCAAGACGGAAAGACCCCGUGAACCUUUACUAUAGCUUGACACUGAACACUGGUCCUUGAUGUGUAGGAUAGGUGGGAGGCUUUGAAGUGUGGACGCCAGUCUGCAUGGAGCCAUCCUUGAAAUACCACCCUUUAAUGGCUGGUGUUCUAACGUGGGCCCGUAAUCCGGGUUGCGGACAGUGUCUGGUGGGUAGUUUGACUGGGGCGGUCUCCUCCUAAAGAGUAACGGAGGAGCACGAAGGUCAGCUAAUCCUGGUCGGACAUCAGGAGGUUAGUGCAAUGGCAUAAGCUGGCUUGACUGCGAGCGUGACGGCGCGAGCAGGUGCGAAAGCAGGUCAUAGUGAUCCGGUGGUUCUGAAUGGAAGGGCCAUCGCUCAACGGAUAAAAGGUACUCCGGGGAUAACAGGCUGAUACCGCCCAAGAGUUCAUAUCGACGGCGGUGUUUGGCACCUCGAUGUCGGCUCAUCACAUCCUGGGGCUGAAGUAGGUCCCAAGGGUAUGGCUGUUCGCCAUUUAAAGUGGUACGCGAGCUGGGUUUAGAACGUCGUGAGACAGUUCGGUCCCUAUCUGCCGUGGGCGCUGGAGAAUUGAGGGGGGCUGCUCCUAGUACGAGAGGACCGGAGUGGACGCAUCACUGGUGUUCGGGUUGUCAUGCCAAUGGCAUUGCCCGGUAGCUAAAUGCGGAAGAGAUAAGUGCUGAAAGCAUCUAAGCACGAAACUUGCCCCGAGAUGAGUUCUCCCUGACUCCUUGA